UACGUAGGGUGCGAGCGUUAAUCGGAAUUACUGGGCGUAAAGCGUGCGCAGGCGGUUCGUUGUGUCGGCGGUGAAAGCCCCGGGCUUAACCUGGGAACGGCCGUUGAAACUGGCGAACUGGAGUGUGGCAGAGGGGGGUGGAAUUCCGCGUGUAGCAGUGAAAUGCGUAGAGAUGUGGAGGAAUACCGAUGGCGAAGGCAGCCCCCUGGGCCAAUACUGACGCUCAUGCACGAAAGCGUGGGGAGCAAACAGG
rnacentral:rRNA from 1 species